rnacentral:rRNA from 4 species
AAAUUGAAGAGUUUGAUCAUGGCUCAGAUUGAACGCUGGCGGCAGGCCUAACACAUGCAAGUCGAACGGUAGCACAGAGAGCUUGCUCUCGGGUGACGAGUGGCGGACGGGUGAGUAAUGUCUGG